UGGGGAAUAUUGCACAAUGGGCGCAAGCCUGAUCCAGCAAUGCCGCGUGCAGGAUGAAGGCCUUCGGGUUGUAAACUGCUUUUGUACGGAACGAAACGGUCUUUUCUAAUACAGAAGGCUAAUGACGGUACCGUAAGAAUAAGCACCGGCUAACUACGUGCCAGCAGCCGCGGUAAUACGUAGGGUGCGAGCGUUAAUCGGAAUUACUGGGCGUAAAGCGUGCGCAGGCGGUUAUGCAAGACAGAUGUGAAAUCCCCGGGCUCAACCUGGGAACUGCAUUUGUGACUGCAUAGCUGGAGUGCGGCAGAGGGGGAUGGAAUUCCGCGUGUAGCAGUGAAAUGCGUAGAUAUGCGGAGGAACACCGAUGGCGAAGGCAAUCCCCUGGGCCUGCACUGACGCUCAUGCACGAAAGCGUGGGGAGCAAACA
rnacentral:rRNA from 1 species